rnacentral:rRNA from 1 species
AUGCCGUUUGGCCUAACGAACGCACCAGCAACAUUCCAGUGUCUGAUGAACGCGAUCUUCGGCAAGCACGCGCGCAAGUUCGUCAUCAUCUUCCUCGAUGACAUCUUGGUCUUAAGCGGCACCUUGGAAGAGCACGUGGAGCACCUGCGGCAAGUAUUCGAGCUUCUUCGUCAGAAUGAGUUGUUCGUCAAGGCCUCCAAGUGUUCGUUUGCGCAGGACAACAUCGAAUACUUGGGACACAUCAUCUCCAAGGAGGGGGUGGCCACGGACGCCGACAAGACGCAGGCGAUGCUGCAGUGGCCCGUGCCCACGACGGCCACUGAGCUCCGCGGGUUCCUCGGCCUAACGGGCUACUACAGAAAGUUCGUAGCGCGCUAUGGCAUUAUCGCCAAGCCGCUCACCAACUUACUGACGAAGAAGGGCUUCACGUGGUCUGAACAGGCGCAGACUGCGUUCAACCUGCUCAAGCAUGCCAUGGCAAGCACACAGGUUCUCGCUCUGCCUGACUUUGACAAGCCGUUCGUCGUCGAGACAGACGCCUGUGACACUGGCAUCGGCGCGGUGCUCGUCCAGGAGGGCCAUCCCGUGGCAUAUUUCAGCAAGGCUCUGGGUGUCCGGAAUCAGAAACUGUCUGCAUACGAGAAAGAAUUUCUGGCAGUGAUGAUGGCAGUGGAGAAGUGGCGUGCCUAUCUUCAGCGCGGGCCGUUCACCAUCCUUACAGAUCACAAAAGUCUGUCUAAUUUGGGGGAUCAGCAACUGGAGACGGAUCUGCAACGCAAGGCGAUGUCCAAACUGGUAGGGCUGCAGUUCACAUUUCAGUACCGAAGAGGAGCAGAAAACGGAGCAGCUGACGCUCUGUCGCGGGUGGGCGCUGCACUAAGCGUGGCCGCGCUCUCCCUCUACCAGCCAGCUUGGGUGCAGGAGGUAGCCAAUUCAUACGCGACGGAUGCCACAGCGCAAGAGAUGCUCUCCCGCCUCGCCAUUCACAGUCCAGACGAGGAGGGGUUCGAGCUGCACAAAGGAUUGAUUCGCCGCGGCGACCGGCUCUGGAUCGGCAGCAACACGGCGCUCCGCACCAAGCUCAUCAGCGCGUUCCAUGACAGCGCAGUGGGGGGACACUCCGGCAUCACCGCCAUGCACCAGCGUGUCAAGAAGCUCUUCCUCUGGCCCGGACAGAAGCGUGACGUCGACGACUUCGUCAAGCAAUACCUGGUGUGCCAGCAGGCUAAGCACGAGCACUGCCGGCCGCCUGGAUAG